rnacentral:rRNA from 1 species
GGUAGUCCACGCCGUAAACGAUGAUCAUUAACUGGCGGAGAUAUUCGCUGGUACAGCUAACGCAUUAAAUGAUCCGCCUGAGUAGUAUGCUCGCAAGAGUGAAACUUAAAGGAAUUGACGGGGAUCCGCACAAGCGGUGGAGCAUGUGGUUUAAUUUGAAGAUACGCGUAGAACCUUACCCACACUUGACAUCUUCUGCAAUGCUAUAGAGAUAUAGCG